rnacentral:rRNA from 1 species
CCCUUAGAUGUUCUGGGCCGCACGCGCGCUACACUGAUGCAUUCAACGAGUCUAAAACCUGCUCUGAUAGGGGUGGGUAAUCUUUUGAAUGUGCAUCGUGAUUGGGAUAGAUGGUUGAAAUUUUUCAUCUUCAACGAGGAAUGCCUAGUAAACGCAAGUCAUCAGCUUGCAUUGAUUACGUCCCUGCCCUUUGUACACACCGCCCGUCGCUCCUACCGAUUGAAUGAUCCGAUGAAUAUCAUGGAUUGAGGAUGCAAGUAGGUUCACCUAUCUUCAUCUUCGAGAAGUGAAGUAAAUCUUAUCAUUUAGAGGAAGGAGAAGUCGUAACA